GGGCGUCAUCAAGAAGUGCCGUGCCUCGUCGGCCCGGCAUGCCAACCUGAUCCGAAGUUCAAGGUGGUUUCUCUGGCCUUCCAGAGAGAUGCGCGUCGGAAGAACCGACGAACAAACCUUCGACUC
rnacentral:ncRNA from 1 species